UUCCUAAUGAACCGUGACAUGUACUACAGCGAGCCGUGUCCAUCUCUUCUCUUGACGUAUCCUCUUCGUAUAAAAGUAUUCUCGAAUCAAGAAAGAUGGAGAAAUCUAGUUCGCCCUUCUCUCAAAAUUAGACGACCCAUUUUUUAUUUACUAUCUGAAUCUGGACUAUUCCAACUUUCCAUCGUUAUCUUUUAAGAUAUUACGAAUUACGAAUUCAAAAUGACCUUAAUUCAUCAGUUUUUGCCUCCCCCCUCCCCCUUUCAAUCCUGAUUUUUCUACCUAUCUUAAAGAGGUUGAGAAAGUAGAAGUUGGAAAAUAUACGGAAGAAACAGCAGAAAGGAGAAACAACAAAAAUAAUAUAGUGCUUCAUUAAAGGAAUCUUUAUUUCCAUAGUUUCUAAGUUAGUUAUUCAAAAUUUUGAACUAUUGUUUUGAGCUACCUAUUUCUUUUAUGACGGAGUUUCAUUGAAGUUUUUCUCAUCGGAGCUUUAGGAGGGAAGUCCGCUUCAACUCGAUGUCUCAGUUUUGCUUCUUCGAGAAAGUUGAUUCUAAGUGUUUGGGGAAAGAACUACACUGAAAUAGGGGGUUUAGAGAUAAACAAUAAAGGAGAAAAGUCAGAGAGCACCUGGAUAGGGCCCUGGGGUGUUGCCUUCUCAAAGCUCCAAGAAAGGGUCUUCGAAUGUUGGGAUUUAGAGUGCCGCACCAGCCAGAGAGCCCCAACCCAUUCUUUGAAUUUCACCCGCUGGAGCCCCGUGCCUCCUAGAGCGUCAGGUAAUCAAGAUCAUAGUCCAGCAUCUUAUUGAUCCAAUUGAGCACUCAAAGUAAGUUGGUGAGCGUACUUUCUAUAUGGAGGACUCCUAUUUAUCAUUUGUUUUUUAAUUUAGUCAUUAGGAUGUCAUGGGUAUUUUCAAGAUAUCCCUUCUUGUUUUAUAGGGUUCAUAGAUGAGUAGUUAUAGCUCUUUAGUUUAUUUAUUUCAGUUGUAUAUGAUUAAGACUUGAGUUGUUAUUUUGGAUAAGUUAUUGUAUGAGUUAUGUUUCUUAUGUUUAAGUAUUCCACUAAGUAAGUAAAUCAGGUCAAGGUUUCACUUGGGGCUAGCAAUGGUUUUCAAGUGUCAAUCCUACCCAGAGUGUAGGCUCGGAGGUGUGACAAACUUGGUAUCAUAGCAUAGAGUUCAAGAGUCCUAGGAAGUCUAUGAAGACGUGUAUGUAGAGUCUAAUUUAUCAGUGUGAAGUAAGCCACAUCUAUAAUUAGGAGAAUGCAACACUUAGACAAUUACUUCAUUUCUUUAACACUUAUUUUGUGCGAUAGAGUUCAUCUUUAAAAAGUCUCUUUCUAAUUCAUGUGUUCACAUGUUUUUCAGUUAAUCAUGCCUCCACAAAGAUUUCAGAGGUCAUCCUUCUAGGCGUAAUGUUUAGGAUCAAGGGGUACUCAAUACACCUGAAGUGAAACCCCAAAGAGAAGUUACCAGUGUUGAGUUCAGAGAAACAAUAAGAAUGUUGAGUCAUGUUUUGAACAACCAAUUCCAAAUAGAGAACUAACAUGAAAGGAAUGAUACGUUGAGGAUUCGCGAGUUCUUGAGGAUGAACCCUACAAGUUUCACUGGUUACAUAACUAUUGAGGAUCCAAAGAACAUUAUUGAGAAGCUGUAAAAUGUAUUUGAGGUCAUGCACGUUGCUGAUGUUGAGAGAAAUGAACUAGGUGCAUAUCAACUGAAGAAUAUUGCUAGGACUUAGUAAGGCCAGUGGAAAUAGGGUAGAGCUGAGAGAGAACCACCUCUGAGUUAGGCUUGUUUUGAAGAGGCUUUCUUGGGGCGUUUAUUUCUUGGAGAACUGAAAGAGACCAAAGCACGAGAUUUUCUCACUCUUAAGCAAAAUUUACCUAGUGUCCAUGAGUAUGGGUUGAAUUUCACCCAACUAUCCAAUUAUGCUCCGGAGAUGGUUGCGGAUACGAGGAGUAUAAUGAGUUUGUUUGUUGCUAGGUUGUCUCAUCAAUAGAAUAAGGAAUGUAAGGUUUAAACCUAAUAGGUGACAUUGAUAUAGAAAGGUUGAUGUUCUACGUGCAAUAGGUUGAGAAGAAGAAGUUGAGAAAUAAGGAGGAUUUUGGAAACAAGAAGUCUAAGAUCGGGACUGAAUGUAGGCAACAAAGAAGUAAUGUGAAUCCUUCGUCCUUUCAGCAAAAGCAAAAGGGAUCUGCUCUAUAAUCUUCUAGUGCACAUGGAUCAAGAAACAAUGUUGAGUACAAUAGUCAGAAUUCACCGUACUUUAGGACUAGACCUUCCCAAUCUCAGGGUAGUGUGGCACAAGGAGGUCACUAUGAUCCUUCAUGUGCUAAGUAUGGUAGAACCCACCUAGGUAAAUGUUACGACGGAUCUAUAGGUUGUUUCAAGUAUGGACAAGAGGGUCAUUUCAUGAAAGAGUUCCGUAUGAAUUGGCAAGGUAGUGUAGAUUAGAGCAACAGAGCCUAAUCUUCAUUAGUUGCUCUACCAGAAAAGGCUUCACCUAGAGGAGAUUUUGAAAAUGGCAGAGGAGAAAAUUGCCUUUAUGCGAAAAGUAGUCGCUGAGAGGAAGAGAACUCUCCAUAUGUUGUCACUAUAUGGUCAAAGACUUUACUCUUAAUGUUUAUGUUUUGUUAGACCCAUGCAAAUAAGUUUAAUGUUCUUCCAGAGAAACUCUAUGAACCCUUUUGGAAAUCUACCCCUAUUAGGGAUUUAAUUCUAGAUGAGUGAGUAUAUCAUUAUUGUGUCAUUUCCAACAAUCACAAGUAUACCAUGGAUGAGUUAAUUUAGUAAGACAUGGUAGAUUUAAUUGUCAUUCUAGGUAUGUACGGUCUUCAUUCUUGUUAAGCCUCCAUCGAUUAUAGGAAUCGAGUCGUUAAGUUCCAAAUUACUAAUGAUUCAGUCUUCACUACAACAAAAACAACUUUUAGCGGCAUUAAAUAUUGAUAUUGAUAAAGAGUUAAAGUCUUUAACGGCAUUAAUUAAGUGUCAUUAGAACCAAUAUCGCUAAAGACUUUAUGAUCAUAUACAAAGAGUGACAAUUGCUGUUAAAAAGACAUAAGCUUAGAGUAGAGAAGUAGUUUAGUUGUGCUAAGGGUCAUUUUAUUUUGUACCUUAAGGCAAGAAAGUUAGUUUCCAAGGGGUGUGUAUCUCACUUAUUCCAAGUUAAUGACUCUAGUUUUAAGAUACCUCAUAUUCACUUAGUUUCAGUAGUAAAAAAGUAUCCAGAAGUCUUUCCAGAUGAUCUAUCCAAAGUCCUCCUGAGAGAGAUAGACUUUGGUAUAGAUGUUCUUCCAGAAAAUUGUCCUAUAUUUAUUCCUCCAUAUAGAAUGGAACCAACAGAGUUGAAGAGCUUAAAGAACAAUUGAAAGAUCUCUUUGAUAAGGUCUUUAUUCAACCAAGUGUCUCACCACGGGGAGCUCUGGUCUUGUUUGUAAGUAACAAGAAGGGUUCCCUUAGAAUGUAUAUAUAUUAACUUCAGUUGAACAAGGUUACCAUCAAGAAUAAGUAUCCUCUUCCGAGAACUGAUAGUAUUUUCCAUCUACUUCAUGAUGCCACUUGUUUAUCAAAGAUAGACCUCAGAUCUUGCUACCAUUAGUUAAGAGUAAGUUAAUGUGAUAUUCCAAAGGCACCUUUCAGGAUCCGUUAUGGUCAUUAUGAAUUUCAGGUCAUGUCUUUUGGUUUGACCAAUGAACCUGCGUCAUUCAUGGACCUUUUGAAUAGAGUAUUCAAACCUUAUCUAGAUAUAUUUUUAUCGUUUUCAUUGUUGACACACCCAUCAAUCCAAGUAUUGAAGAAGAUCAUGCUAGUAAUCUCAGAAUAGUUCUUAAAACUUUAAAGGAUAGAAAGUUAUAUUGUAGGUUCUCUAAGUGUGGGUUUUGGCUUGAAUCUGUGGCAUUCUAAGGUCUCAUUGUAACUGAUGAGCGAAUUAAUGUUAAUACCCAAAAAAUAGAGGCAGUGUAAAAUUAGCCUAGACCCACAUAUCCAAUUGAUAUUAGCAGUUUCUUGGGUUUGGAUGGCUAUAAUAGAAUGUUCGUAGAGGAAUUCUCACUUAUUUCAUCCCCUUUGCCCAAGUUGACUCACAAGACAGUAAAGCUACAAUUGUGAGAAAAACUUUCAGGAAUCGAAAAAGAGGUUGACUACUUCCCCACUGUUAACCUUACCAGAAGGUACACAAGGCUUUAUUGUAUAUUGUGAUGCGCUAAAGUUGGUUUGGGUUGUGUGUUAAUGCACAAUGACAAGGUUAUAGUUUAUACCUCUAGAUAGUUGAGAGUUCAUGAGAGGAACUGCCCAACCCAUAACCUAGAGUUGGUUAUCGUAGAUUUUGCUUUGAAGAUAUAGAACCAUUAUCUUAAUGGCGUUCAUGUGGAUGUGUACAUCAAUCACAAAAGACUUCAGUAUGUGUUCACUCAAAAUGAACUUAGUCUCAGACAAAAAAGGUAGUUUGAAUUACUCAAGGAUUAUGACAUGAGUAUUCUUUACCACCCAGGUAAGACUAAUGUUGUUGUUGAUUCCUUGAACAGGUUGUCUAUGUGUAGUAUUUCCCAUUUUGCAAAGAUAAGGAGGAGCAGUGGUGAUGAAUGGGACUGAAUAAUCAUUAUUCUCAGAGGUUAAAUAAAAGCAAGACCAAGAUUUUAUUUUUCUUCAAUUGAAGGCAAAUAUUCAUAAGUAAAAUGUAUUGACUUUUGAAUAAAGGGGAGAUGAUAUUUGGAGGUAUAAAGGUAGAUUGUAUGAACCAAGGGUGGAUGAACUCCAAGAGAGGAUCAUUGAUGAACCUUAUAGUUCUAACUUUUCCAUUUAUCUGGGUUCCACAAAGAUAUAUCGUGACUUAAGAGAAAUCUAUUAGUAGAGUAUUAUGAAUAAGAAAAUUACAUAAUUUGUUGCUAAUUGUCCAAAUUGCCAACAAGUUAAAGUAGACCACCAAAGGUCCAGGUGGAUAAGCUAAAAAGCUAGAACUUUCAGAAUGAAAGUGGGAGAUGACUAAUAUGGACUUCAUCACAGAUUUACCAAGGUCUCGCAGACAGCAUGAUUUCAUUUGGGUGAUUGUUGAUAGAAUGACCAAAUCAACCACUUUUACUAAUAAAGACUACCCAUUCAACAAAGGGCUAUGCUAAGUUGUAUCUUCAAGAAAUAGUUAAGACUCCGUAUGAUUCCAGUCCCCAUUUUUUUAGGUAGAGGUGCGCAAUUUACUGUAAUUUUCGAAGUCAUUCCAAAAAGGCAUAGGUUCAAAGGUGAACUUAAGUACUACCAUUCAUCCUUAGACAUAUGCGUAAGAAGAGCACACUAUUCAUACCUUAGAGAAUAUGUUGAGGUCUUGUAUAAUUGAUUUCAAAGGUAAUUGGGAUGGUCACCUACGUCUUAUCGAAUUUGUGUACAAUAAUAGUUAUCACUAUAGCAUCCAAAUGACUCCUUAUGAAGAUCUUUAUGGGAGAAGGAGAAAAUUUUAUUUGAUGGUUUGAAGUGGGUAAAGUUGGGUUGAUAGGACCAGACUUAGUUCAUCGAGCUAUGAAAAUGGUAAGAAUCAUUCAAGAAAAUUUGAAAAUGGCACAAUGUCGUCAAAUAUCCUAUAGUGAUAUUAGGUGAAGGGAGUUGGAUUUUGAAGUAGGUGAUUGGGUAUACUUAUAAGUUUCACCCAUGAAGGGUGUUAUGAGGUUAAGUAAGAAGAAGAAGCUUAGUCCUCGUUAUAUGGGCUCUUGCAAAAUAUCCAAGAGGGUUGAAAAUGUAGCUUAUUAGUUAGAGCUACCACAACAUUUAGCAGUGGUUCAUCUAGCAUUUCAUAUUUCCAUAUUGAGGAAGUGCAUGGGAGAUCCUUCACUGAUUAUACCAACUAAUGAUAAUGGGAUCAAGGGUAUCUUCUCUUAUGAGGAGAUUCCCGUUCAGAUUUUAGAACGCCAAGUUUACACGUUGAGAACAGAUGAGGUAGCAUUAGUCAGAAUUCUUUGGAGGAAUCAAUUUGUUGAGGAAGUCACUUGGAAUUUUUAGGAGGUUAUGAAGAAGACAUAUCCAUAUCUCUUCAAAUUUGGAGAAGUUCCAAAUUAAAGUACUAAUCCUUUUCUUGGCAUUUUAUUUAUAAGUUGGCAUGUUGUAAUUGCAUUCUACUUGUUGGGUAUUUGAGCAAACUUUUAGAUGUUACACACUUAACCUACUAAGGGUAAUCUUAUUCGAUGAUGAAUGUUCCCAAGGGAAAGAUAUUGUAAUAUAUCGCUAAUUGAAAGAACUAGAAAGAGUUAAACAUUGGAAAUAGUCAUUUUUGGAAAAAAUAUAACAAUCUGGAAAAUUUGUUAAGUAUGUUAAGUUGAGUUUUUGGUAAGCUUCAAAUGCCCAUAACUCCUAGAUGAGUAUGAGUUAGGGUUGUUUCCAGAUAUGUUAGGAAAGAUCAUGGAAUAAGUUUUACAACGCCACUGAGUUUGCGCGAUUCUGAAUUCGUAUGAGUGACAUAUACCAAUUUGAAGUUGGAAUGUUCAAAUAAGGGAAAUUUUAUCCGGAUUGCAGAAGGACAUGAUAGUCUUUUACAUACCCCAUGACUUAAUUUCGUGUUUUGGUUAUUGAUUGGGGUAUAAAUCGAUAGGAUUGAGGAUUCAGUUUAUGCUUUUACAAUAGUGAGUUAGGGUAUUAGAGAAGAGAAAAGAAGAAAAAGAGGAAGAAUCGUCAAGUUAUUCAAGAAUCACUUGUUGAUUUUUUAAAGGGUGGUCUAUACUAGGUAUGUGAGAUCACAUAUCAUUGGGUAAGUUCACCCAUGCACCAAUCAUGAUUCAAUUCAACGAAGUAUAAUUGAUUUGUGAGAAAAUCAUGAGUUCUUGGUGAAAUUCGUUUGAAUUUUUGUGGGUUUCUAUUGUUGAAGUUUUCUGGAGUUUGUUUCAUGUUUUGGGUGUGAUUCUGAGUUGACAUAUUGAUGGUAUAGUUUAUUUUGAAUUGUUUCAGGAUAGGAGGUGUAGAGAUGAAAACGUAUGAGAGAAGUCGGAGUGCACCUGGGUAGGGAACUGGGGUGCCGCCCCUAUCAGAACUCUGAAUGUUAGGCUCUGGUGUGCAACGCCAUCCAAGGCACCCUAACCCAUUCUUUGAAUUUCAUACUCUGGUGCCCCGCUCCUCCCAGAGGGCUAGGGACACCAUUUCUUCCCAGUCUUCCCCCACCUUUCGGUAGUAGUUUCUUAGCAACAUAUCUAUGUUUUCUAGUUGAUUUCAACACUCUUAGGUACGUAUAAACAUAAUGAAAUCACCCAUAAACAUGAGAUCAUGAACCUUAAAUCCAUAUUUCAAUUCAAGAAAAGUUAAGAGUCAAGUGUAGAAGUUAAGAAUCAAAUCAAGAGAAGUUCGUAAAGUUGUUUUCAAAAGUCUUUCACAAACGUUUUAACUUUGUUUUGAGAAUUAAAUUUGGAGUUAAGCAAAGAGUAAAGAGUUGAGUUCAUUUCUUGAAAAUUUAUAAAGGAACUAAGUAUUCCCAAGAUUUUAAAAUGUUUUCACAUUUGAACAAGAAAGAAAAACAAAGAUUUCCAAUAGAGAUAUUCAGCUAUGUAUUCAGUAAUUAUGUCAAACCAAAGAAAGAGGUUUGUUUUAAAAACAUAUAAGCUAAGUACAUUUUGGGAGUAGUAUUGAGCACUGAUAUGGGGAUGCAAGCUCAUAAUAACUCAACUCUCUAUAAACCAUGUUUUUAUCAUGGGUAGAGAAUGAUCAUACUUUUUAGAUGAUUAAUUUAUUCUCUUAAGCAUAAACUAGUGGAUUCACUUAGUUAAAGUGUCCUAUAUGACGGCAAACUAUAGAAAAGUUUUGACAGCAUGGGCAAGACGAUGUAUCUCUACUUAGGCUCAUAGUGGUGGUUGUCGGUUAGUUAUACAAGUAAAAUUGAGUUUGUUAUUGCAUUUCUUUAACAAAUUGAGUGUCAUUUACUAUUUUACACGUUUUGUAUAAAUUGCACUAUUAUUGUUGUUUUACACUGCAAUUGAGUUGAGUUAUUCAUCAAUUGAGUAAAGUCAAGGUAAGUGUUUCUUUCAGACUCUUUUCAAGCUUACAUUUUGUUUUAACAUUCCCUCGCAUACUCGUACAUUUAAUGUACUAAUGGCAUUUGACCUAUAUAGUUUAAUGAUAUAGACACAAGUAAUCAAGAUGAUCAUUCAGCGCCUCGUUGAUCAAGUUGAACCCUAUUUUAUCCAGAGGACUCUUAUUUAUCAUUUGUUUUAUAAUUUAGUUUAUCAGGAUGUUGUGGGUCUUGUCCUAACAUACCUCCUUAUUUUAGAGGUAUCAUAGAUGAGUAUAUAGUUCUUUAGUCUUAUUUAUUUCAGUUGUAUACAUUUAAGACUUGAGUUGUCAUUUUAUCUAAGUUAUUAUCUCUUAAGUUAUUUCAUGCGUUAUGUUUCUUAUGUUUAAGUCUUAUGUUGAGAAAGUAAUACAGGGCAUGUGUUCGCUUGAGGCCAACAAUAGUUCUUAAGUGUCAGUCCCGCCCAGGGUGUAGGCUCGGAGUGUGACAUAUAACUACUAUUCUUGUCUUUUAAGGGGGUUUAGAUAAUAAAGGUUCGAAAAUAUAAGGAAAAUAUUGAAGAAAGCGGAAACAAGAAAAUACAGUGGUUCAUAAGAGGAAUCUUGAUCCAAAUCUCACACUCUCGUUUUGAACUUCUGGUUUCUUUUGCAAUAGAGUUUCAUCAAAGUUCAUUUCAUUUGAUCUUUAAGAGGAAAGUCGACUUCAAAUUGUCGUCUUAGUUCCUUUGUAUCAAGAAAGGUGACAUCUCUUCCCUCUUACACAUUUUUGUUUAGAUUUUAAGUGUUCUGUGUUGGGCCCUUUUUUAUGUGAAGCCUCUUUGGUUUCGUCUUUGUUCUCCCUUACGUUGGUUAGAAUAAUGAUGGAUGAAAUCUUGUUUUAGAUAGAAUUGAAUAUUCUCUCUUAUAUUUUGGAAGUCGGUUAAUAAAUACUUUGCAUCACCUUGUUCAAGCAUUAUGUUAGAAAGUGGUGUUAAUCAAGUCUAUAUUUCUUGCGUGUAUUCUUUUCUAUUUGAACAUAUAAAAAUGAUCAGUUGUUAUAGUUUUGAGAGAGUUGGGCUUACUUUUUGUUAUUGUAUAUAGCUUGAGAAUCAAGUUCUAAUUUUAGCUACAUUUUGAUGUUGUUUCCUAUGAUUUCGCUAAGUUUGAAAUAGGGUGGGAGUUGUUUUUUCCUUAGAGAUUAUACUUUUUAGUCAUUUAGUUGCUACUUUAUUUUUUCUCUUCCAUUCUUGGCAUGUCUUAACUAAUGACUGUUGGCAAUCCGUAUCGUCCUCCUCGAUAUAUCCUGGUAUGUGAUAUUUAAGAUUGAUUUUGCUCAGUCUGUUGGCUCAUUUAUUCCGCCAUAGCUUACUAGAGUAGUCGUGCUAUUGUAUUCCUCAACUCAUUCUAGUUAAUUGCAUCUUACUGUUGAAAACUUGUUUGCUAUAAUUUGUUAUAUAAGUUAUGAGAUUUUGGUAUGAACAUAUGUUAUGAGUAACAAGUUAUGAUUUAUUUAGAGGUUCACUGCCUAGCAAAUAUAUGUCAAUUUAUUUUGUUCAUGCAUUCUGGGAAUAUAGAGUCGUCAUUUGGAUUAUGGCCAUAUUUUGGUGAAUAAUAUUUAAUGCCAAGUUUAAAUUCAUUAUCUAUCAUAAUUAAAUGUGAGCUAUUUUAUCCUCUAUGCAACUACUACUUAUGUAUUUUGUUUUAUUUUUUGUUGUUGCAUGUGAAGCAUAACUAUCUCUUGUACCCCUAAUUGGCGCCGAGGAGUCUUCAUCUUGAAGAUUCUAUUUGAAUUUCGACUCCUCUUGCAUAAGUGAUUGGAACAAAGAGGCCCAACUACAUUCUUUUUCGAGUCAACUCAGGUUAUUUUAUUUUAUUUGGGAGGAAGUUAAUGAACAAGUUGAAAAAAGAAAACUGGUACAGGUCCCCGGAAGUCUGAAAUGGGUUGGAUACAUGUCGUAUACAAUAGUAUACAUGAUAUACAGGUCAAAGAGCAACGUAUACAAGUUUAUACACAUAAUUAUAGGUGUUUGAGAGAUGAAAUAGAUUGUAUAUAUUUAGUGCAUAGGCUGAUUACAGGAAAACAAGCUAAUAUACAUCCUAUAUAAAUGAGUAGGCACUAAGUAUAUAUGCAGAUUUUCAUAGGAGAAAUGGGCUAAAGCUCAAAUCUUAUUUGCUACAGCAGGUCCAAGCAAAAGAGGGGCCCAAAAUCCCAAUGACAUCACCAACAGAUGAUCCC